GCAAGUCGAACGAGAAAGUACCUUCGGGUAUGAGUAGAGUGGCGCACGGGUGAGUAACACGUAGGUAAUCUGCCUUUUGGUGGGGGAUAACCAGGAGAAAUUCUGGCUAAUACCGCAUGAGUUGGUAACAAGAAAGGAUGCUCCGGCAUUCGCCGAAAGAUGAGCCUGCGGAACAUUAGCUUGAUGGUGGGGUAAUGGCCUACCAUGGCUUCGAUGUCUAGCCGGAUUGAGAGAUUGAUC
rnacentral:rRNA from 1 species